GCUGUGUGAUAAGGAAGCUCGGCGUGGCAACUGUUGACGCGGCGUGUCCGCGUUGCUAUGGCGGAACUGGGGCGAUUGACAUAACUCGAGUUGGUGCUGGUUGCAACCUGUCGCCGAAUGCUUGUCUGCCUUCUGGACUAACGUGGGAAGUGUGACCGUGCACCGUUGAAGGCUUGCAGAGCCGUACAGCGCCUCCAUCGUCUACACAGGUCUUUGGGCGCCCUUCACACGGGACGGUGUGCCUCUGGUCCCUACAGAAGCGUCCGCUACCUGGAUAGCACAACAAGAACUACACCCAAGGUGAUAUCUGUGAGGAGGGCAGAUGGCUCUUCCCCAAUUCAGAAGAGGACGAAAUGCCACAGUGGGUGGAGGAUCAGAGAGAUACCAAUGAGCCAGAGCGAAAUAGCGACUGUGUCAGAGGAACAAUUUCCGCAGUACACUGUGCCGCGGGUAAUGGGUGCGGAAAGCCUGCUUCACUGAAGUGGUGUCCAGUGAGGCAUGCCGCGUCGGUAAAGGUGUCGCUAAUCGCCAUCCGAGAAGCCACCGCCGAUGCCGUCCCCGAAGCCGCUGUCGCUCAGCACUGCCCUGAUGUCCACGGAUCGUUGAAGAACAAGCUCCCACUCUUCAGGCAAGCGGGUCAGCCACAGCCAGACUUCCUGCACUGGCCUGAUACCGCAGCACCUCCUCCUCCUCCACCUUUUCAUCCUCACUGAUCCCACAAAGUACGUGCAACUCGACGCAUACCUUUCAACACCUCAUCUCAACCACUUUCGCCAACACAGUGGAAGCAGUCAUCGGCGGAUGUUAUCAAUACGUCCAGCGCCAACACUCGCCAUAUUGAAUGUUCUCAAAUUUGGGCAUAAAAACCGGAGAAACUCACAAUGAACACAAACACGAAGGGUCCCCAACACAUACUGAGUAAUAGUUCGCUAUUCAUCAGCCGAUAGUGCGAUACGGUUUUACCCCAGCUGAUUGGUUGAGAGGCUCAGUAAUGGCUCCUACCUUAAGCCGGAAAUGUCAGUUCAUUCUGGUCACUGGCUGUCUCCGCCAUGCUCCCUGAGGCCAGGCAGAAACGUCCUAGGAAACCAGCCACAUAUUUAUCAGUGUAAUUACAAUUAAAUAUUACGAUCAUAGCACCAAUCAGGAGACAUGUGACAAUGAACAAAGUAUCGGAAAUGUCUCCUCCUGAUGGCUAUGGCUCUGAAAACAUCAGUAUCUACACCAUUCUUACGACUAUACAUAAUUUUCAAUGUAAAAUCUUUCAUCCCCCUUACAGCUUUCGAUGCGUUGCAACUGCAAUUUUCCAUGUCAAAUCCAUACCUCUCUUACGACUGGACUAAGUCACUUUCUUUGCACAUAUCAGAACAUCGACCACAGUAACUUUACACUGCUCAUAUACACAUGUCAGAGAAGCAUUGCAGUUAUCAUUUAUAUGUUUAUAGCACCCAAAAAAAUUGUGGUAUGUCCACACUCACACCAGCUAGGUGUCUCGAUUCUUCUCAGUUCUAGGAAAUUAUUUGACCUUUAAGUCUUGCUGUCAGCGCUUCCAAAAGGUGCUGCAUCCUGCCAAGCCUCUUUCAAAACAGUACUGUAAACCACAGGUGAGUGGCAUUAUGCGGUAAUCAACAGCUCUCCCAGGGACGAAAGAGUUGGAAAGACAUCAUCGAUAGGGGUUGGUGUACUGUAACAAACAUCGCAGUCGAUAGUGAAUCACAGAACACAUGAGGAUCGGCUUAGGGGAGCCGAUGAGAGGAUGUUCUGUAUAUCCAUUUCGUUACAGCCGUAUUGCCCAUCCUAUUUGUACACUAUAGCAGAUCCAGUUGAACCCUUGCAUUGCUACAUUAUGCAGCUGUUCACGGAAUGGAUCUGUCAACUCUUACUGUCGGAUAUACUACUCAGUGCGUUGAAAUCACAAUUCACCAUGUCAAAUCUAUCCUCCCCUUACGACUAGAAACACGUAGUCUUUUUACAUGAAUAGUAGUAUGAUCACUUCCUACAAACUUCUAGUGAUAUGUUUUAACAUACGCAACAGUAACUUCAGCAUAACAUGUUUGGCUACCAUUCUUAUGUGUAUAGAGUCCGAAAGUAUUAUAUGUCCACACUGGCACAAGCUGGCUGUCGUUCCAUACCGCCCGAUAGCAAAACCACUGCCCCCCCUACCCCCACACUACAUGGUUAUUAUCACAUAUUUGUUGAGGAAUAAAGGGUGUAAUUACAAUCAAAAAAGCCCUAGCGUCUUUUUUAUUUUCUCGAUUGCACCACAUCCACGAAAUCCUUUCGUAUUGUUAUACUUGUAAAUCCAGCCAACACAGUGGCGUCUUAUAUUUUCUGACCGCCAAAUUGGAGUCUGUGUUAGAGCAUUUGACAUUUUUUUUAUAAGUUUACACUUAUAACCACCUUAGACCUAACACUCAGAUCACACAAAUUUCUUGACUAAGACAUCACAGCGAGUGAAAUAUACUAGAGUACGUCCAUUCGGGGUUAAUUUUCAAGGACAAGUGAACAGGUGGAGAAACGUUUGCAUAUCGUAAAACUGUUCUGUAUCGCAUGUAAGCACAUUUUAUGUUCCUCUUGUUAAGCACCGUAUCUGCUUAGCGCUUUGGAGGGGGACCACCCCGAGUCGGAUCUCUUACAGCUGGAAAAAAUGAGCUAUUAGAGCGUGAUACAAAUAUGUGUGAGAAACGAUGACCUAAUGAUAGAUAUUAAACGGAUAUCUGUUUAGAUCCUAGAACAUGUGUGUCGAAGCUGAAUUUUCAAAAAGAAUACCAUCUUAUGUAGAAACCGUCAAUAGGAUUAAAUGCAAAGCAUGCUUUAUUCGAAGCGUACAAUAGACUUCUGUUUGCAACUCCAGUGCACCAGUUGUAUAGAAUUGAAAAAUCACUAUCAGUUAUUGAACUUCAAUCUCGUGCAGGAUUUCUGUCAAUAAGGUGGUGCUGUGGAGGCUAGAAGGAACAGCAGUAGCGCCGUACUUCUAAUAGUGAAUCUGAGCAGUGGUAGUGAGUGUAUUGUGCAAAGUAUGGUCGUGGAUGCUAGGGUUCAUGCUUCAGUUAUCGCUAUUUCAAAGGUGUUAAAAGGGUUUAGUGACUGCAUGACUCAGCUUUAUUCAAGAACACAUCUAUUACGACAAUUAGCCUUUAGGACUACGAAUUCUCUGGGAAAGAGAAUGUUACUGCUUGCAACACGUUGGAGCGGAUGAAAUCAAUAAAUGCACGUAAUGUACUCCCGGAUAUUUAUGUGAAACAUUAGAAGUCGUCGACAUAUGAACGCUCUUGAUUACUACAUGUUACUUAUGAUAUAUCACACAGAUUCUAUUUGUUACCUGAAGUGUUUAAAUGGGAUGAACUCAUUUCAAAGCACUUUAAGCACUAUGAUAUGAAUGCACGACGCCAGAUUGAUGGAUCACCAUCAAUUAAGUUGCAUUGGGUUGGAUGUACAGCUAGCAUGACCAAUAAUAAAUCAUAAUGUCUGUCCAUUAACCAAGUAAGUUUCUACUACGUUUUUUAAUAGCCUGUUGCUUUACUUUAUGGUUUCUGUGACGAUGUUCAUAGACAGUUCGUAUUUAAAGACGCAUCGUUAAGUAAUUUCAAGGAUGUGAAGUAUGCUAAAACACAAAGGAGUACAAAUUGGUUACCAUGGAAUUCACCUGCAUCCCUUAUAAAGAUAUGGUGACGUCACUUCGAUUAUUCGACCAAUAUCUACAUAAAGGGGAAGAAAAAGAUCGCAUGAACGUGUCGAAUUUUCAAGUAUGCUGCUAUUCAAGAACUGGAAUUCUAAGGGUGCUCUCCUCUCCGUCGACUCAAGAAGAAGAUGUGUGAAAAUGGUGUUGUU